CGCCCUUGUUGAUGAGCUGAACCACAUUCUCUGUUUGGCCUUUGUACGCAGCUACGAGAAGGCGCUCUGAAAGUGCAGCGACCGCAUCUUGCUGGCUCAUGAAUUAGGAAAGAAAGGUUUUCAGGGAAGCGGUAGACAAGUUCCUUCAGCUCAACACGAAGUCACUGGCCCGGCCUGGCACCCAGAGGUGUUGGGGCAUUGAAAUCAGACACGGAUUUCAUUCCAACUGACUGCAUGCUGUAUGCCACAGGUAACAUCACAGAAAGAGACAAGCAGCAACUAGACAGUGUGUCCUCCUGCUAAAAGUACGUAACGUCGGUUGUGAAGUAGUCCUGUCCCUCUCACCCAGAAAAAGGGCCCGACUCUGACGAAGCUUUCAGGAAAUCUAACUACCAAGGUACAGGAAAUACAGAAACAGAAGAGCACGUUAAAUGACACCACAGCAUUAGAUCACACUUUGAGAAGCUCUGCUGUAAAAGACAAAAGACCUGAUUGCUUCAACAAAAACAGAAAAUUGCAAGGGGAAAAAUGAGAUGGAGAAGAAACGUAGAGAUUAAGAUUUAAGAGAUUUAUCACCCAAUGACUAUGACCUUUGGAUCCCAAUUUAAAAAACUUAA
rnacentral:lncRNA from 1 species